rnacentral:misc_RNA from 1 species
GGAAAAUUUAAUUGAGGAUCUAAAGUUGAAAAUUCAGAAAGCUGACAGUCGUGCAGACAAUGCAGAGGAUAAGUGCAUUGUAUUAUCUGAAUCUAAUGCAGAACUAAAUGAAGAACUGGGCUUUUUGAGGGGAAGGCUUGAAUGCUUGGAGAUAUCUCUGAAUCAAGCUGAGGAAACAAAAAUGAUUGCGGCAAAGGAUAUUGGCUUUCGGACAAAAGUAAUAACAGAUCUGGUGAUGCAAUUGGCUAUCGAAAGAGAGCGCCUUCAUAAGCAGAUGAAAUCAUUAGCACUUGAGAAUAAAACUUUAGUGCUAGCUACCAACCAUUGUAAUAGAGGAAGUGGUGAAAAAUCUCUGUUUCCUGAGCAUGAAGUAACCCAGAUCUCAGCAUCUGGUUCCAAGUUGGACAAGAAAAGGAAAAAUGUGUCUGUUGGUGAAACUAAAGUGGCAGAUGCAGAUUCCAUAUUGGGG